CCCACACUAAAAUGAUGACAGGUGUUUCAGUUUCACUGUCCAACCCCUGUAUUUCACAACUAUGUUCAACAGACCUUUCUGAAACAGUCAAUUUGUGCAUACUAACAUGUGCCUAUAGAUUUCUUCAGCUGAUAUGAUUGAACUGAAGACAAGACCGGACACAGAGGCAGCAUCUUCUGAUCCAGUUCCCCAGUCCAGUACAGCUCCCUGUGUGAGUGAGGAGGACCUGGCAAAGCUUUUGGCCCUGACUCCCCUCACUAAAACUCUGCAGGAUAUACAGCAGUCCCUGCAAGCACUGAACGAUACGCCCCACGCAGAAGAAGAACCUAGAGCAUCAUCUGAGGACACGGAGGAGAGGCAGCAGGCGCACCUGAUCCCCGUUGCCCUUGACAACCUGUCUCCACGGAGCUUCGCUGUCUUCCUGUUUGGUUGCCAUGUAGUGAGGCUGCUGAGCCGAGCCUGCGGCUUCCCCGCCGUGAUGCUGCUGCUGGCUAAAACCCUGCCGGUUACUCAAACCGACUCCCUGCUGAACUACUGUAACCGAGAGUUUUACUACGACACAUCCAACCAGAUACUGUACAUCCUCCACAGCAACCUGCAAAACGCCGGACACUUCAUCUCUGUCCUCUUACACGCUCUGGCUUAUAUUACUUCAGGCUCUGCUCCUCGAGACUUCAUCAGAUCCCUCCACCUGGCUGUAUCUGCUCUGAGCUUGCAGUUAUUCCAUCUCUCCUUCACUCAGGAGCAGCAGGAAGGAAAGAUGGAUGAAGAGAGAUCACAGCUUGCCUUUGGGACGUUGGUGGAGGACUUCCUCAGUGUUAAAGUUUCUACUGAAACUCAAUUCACCCCAAGUCUACUGGCUGAAAGGCUCCAAAAGUACAAGUACUUCAAGUUGGAGCAGCUCCUUCAAGAACUGAAACCACCUCCAUCGAGCCGACCCACAGAAGGUUCUAGCCCCACAAAUCUCAAACUCCCGGUGCAGAUGCUUUGUGUGGAGCAGGAAAUCCAGCACCUUAAUGAGGUUUACCAGCAGCUCAGCUCCCAGCUGCACAGCAGAACACACACACUCACACACACACACACACACCGCCCGCUGGAGCAGAGCCAGACCCAGACCCAGCUCAACAAAGGCCUUCAGGAGCAGGUGUUGAUGUUGAAGCUCCAGCAGGUCACAGUAGAGCAGAGACUGAGGGAGAUGAAGGAGAGGUUGAGUAAACUCAGCUCAGAUAAAGAGCGAUCUGAGCGAAAUGAACAGUCCGUGUCUGAAAGCACAGAGCAGCAGAUACAUAAAGACAGCCUGGCCUUCAGUAAACACACACAGCUGAACAAUGGAGCCGAUAACCAGACAGACGCCAGCGAGCAGCUCCCCAGCAAGAAACAACACAGCAGACAUAUGGAUGACGUAGCGCUGGAGAAAAGGAUGUUAUAGCCUGAGGCAGAUUCACUCUUCCUGUUUUGUUCCUGUGUUGUUUACUCACUCUACUCUCAUAAAAUAGCAAUGAAUUAUCUUCUAUAGAGACACAGUAUCAUAUUUUUUGGUUGUUUUUCCCUUUUUGGCACUUCUUGGGUUUUACCCUGUGGUGGAUUUUUAUUUUCUGGACCUGAGCUACCCACCUCUGUGUGUAACUAUAGGUUUAAAUAGGAUCUCCGGUGGAUUUUGUGUUUUACAGAGACUAUAAGCCUAGGUCAGUGUAGGCUGAACUGGACUUAUUAGGACAUUAUUACACAUGUUGUAAAGUAACAUAUGAAAUUGCAAAGACUGUUAUUAGUGUAAAAAUGUCUUUAUUUUAAAGCGUUUCCAACUGUUGUCCGUCUCUCUGCCUCCUGGUGUUGCAGUUCUGUUAGCCAAUCAGAGGCAAUAUGUUUGCAUAUAUGAAAAUUCAUGAGCAAGACCUGAAAUCCUAUUGCCCCCCCCCCCCCCAGAAUUGUACCAGAAUGUCAUGUUCAGUUAUGUCAGUAAUGAGUAACUUAGGCUAUGUUCACUGUUUGUCAUUUUCCUUUGUAAAAAGAUAUUAUAGCGUCCGAAUGGACAUAUUGAAACGCAGUGUAUUCUGGGAAUUGUAGUGUGGACCACUCGUUUUAUUUUCAUGUCAUGACCAAGCAGGCUACAAUAAAUGCCCAGUACUUUACUUUAACA
rnacentral:lncRNA from 1 species